ACCAGGUCACUUCCCCCAGCUACAGGUACCACCACCAGGUCACUUCCCCCAGCUACAGGUACCACCACCACCAGGUCACUCCCCCCAGCUACAGGUACCACCACCAGGUCACUCCCCCCAGCUACAGGUACCACCACCAGGUCACUCCCCCCAGCUACAGGUACCACCACCAGGUCACUCCCCCCAGCUACAGGUACCACCACCAGGUCACUUCCCCCAGCUACAGGUACCACCACCAGGUCACUCCCCCCAGCUACAGGUACCACCACCAGGUCACUCCCCCCAGCUACAGGUACCACCACCAGGUCACUCCCCCCAUCUACAGGUACCACCUCCAGG